CGCGUAGGCGGAUUGGAAAGUUGGGGGUGAAAUCCCAGGGCUCAACCCUGGAACUGCCUUCAAAACUCCCAGUCUAGAGUUCGAGAGAGGUGAGUGGAAUUCCGAGUGUAGAGGUGAAAUUCGUAGAUAUUCGGAGGAACACCAGUGGCGAAGGCGGCUCACUGGCUCGAUACUGACGCUGAGGUGCGAAAGUGUGGGGAGCAAACA
rnacentral:rRNA from 1 species